AUGAACGCUGGCGGCGUGCCUAAUACAUGCCAGUCGAGCGAACAGACGAGGAGCUUGCUCCUCUGACGUUAGCGGCGGACGGGUGAGUAACACGUGGAUAACCUACCUAUAAGACUGGGAUAACUUCGGGAAACCGGAGCUAAUACCGGAUAAUAUAUUGAACCGCAUGGUUCAAUAGUGAAAGACGGUUUUGCUGUCACUUAUAGAUGGAUCCGCGCCGCAUUAGCUAGUUGGUAAGGUAACGGCUUACCAAGGCAACGAUGCGUAGCCGACCUGAGAGGGUGAUCGGCCACACUGGAACUGAGACACGGUCCAGACUCCUACGGGAGGCAGCAGUAGGGAAUCUUCCGCAAUGGGCGAAAGCCUGACGGAGCAACGCCGCGUGAGUGAUGAAGGUCUUCGGAACGUAAAACUCUGUUAUUAGGGAAGAACAAAUGUGUAAGUAACUAUGCACGUCUUGACGGUACCUAAUCAGAAAGCCACGGCUAACUACGUG
rnacentral:rRNA from 1 species